rnacentral:rRNA from 1 species
GGUCAAGCGAAUAAGCGCACACGGUGGAUGCCUUGGCGGUCAGAGGCGAUGAAGGACGUGGCAGCCUGCGAAAAGUAUCGGGGAGCUGGCAACAAGCUUUGAUCCGGUAAUGUCCGAAUGGGGAAACCCACCCGCUUGCGGGUAUCCUGCAGUGAAUACAUAGCUGCUGGAAGCGAACCUGGUGAACUGAAAUAUCUAAGUAACCAGAGGAAAAGAAAUCAACCGAGAUUCCGUAAGUAGCGACGAGCGAACGCGGACUAGCCCUUAAGCUGGAUUGGUUCUAGGAAAACGCUCUGGAAAGAGCGGCCAUAGAAGGUGAUAGCCCUGUAUCUGAAAGGGCCAUUCCAGUGAAGACGAGUAGGGCGGGGCACGUGAAACCCUGUCUGAACAUGGGGGGACCAUCCUCCAAGGCUAAAUACUACUGACCGACCGAUAGUGAACCAGUACCGUGAGGGAAAGGCGAAAAGAACCCCGGAGAGGGGAGUGAAAUAGAACCUGAAACCGUGUGCGUACAAGCAGUAGGAGCUCCGCAAGGGGUGACUGCGUACCUUUUGUAUAAUGGGUCAGCGACUUACUGUUCGUGGCAAGCUUAACCGUAUAGGGGAGGCGAAGGGAAACCGAGUCUGAUAAGGGCGCAUAGUCGCGGGCAGUAGACCCGAAACCGGGUGAUCUAGUCAUGCCCAGGGUGAAGGUGCGGUAACACGCACUGGAGGCCCGAACCCACUCCCGUUGCAAAGGUAGGGGAUGAGGUGUGAUUAGGAGUGAAAAGCUAAUCGAACCCGGAGAUAGCUGGUUCUCCUCGAAAGCUAUUUAGGUAGCGCCUCAUAUGUAUCCUCUCGGGGGUAGAGCACUGUUAUGGCUAGGGGGUCAUCGCGACUUACCAAACCAUUGCAAACUCCGAAUACCGAGACGGACUGUAUGGGAGACACACGGCGGGUGCUAACGUCCGUCGUGAAAAGGGAAACAACCCAGACCCACAGCUAAGGUCCCAAAUUUUGUGCUAAGUGGAAAACCAUGUGGAAAGGCACAGACAGCCAGGAGGUUGGCUUAGAAGCAGCCACCCUUUAAAGAAAGCGUAAUAGCUCACUGGUCGAGUCGGUCUGCGGGGAAGAUUUAACGGGGCUAAGCACAGAACCGAAGCUUGGGGUGCAUAACUUUGUUAUGCGCGGUAGAGGAGCGUUCCGUAAGCCGUUGAAGGUGGAUUGAGAAGUCUGCUGGAGGUAUCGGAAGUGCGAAUGCUGACAUGAGUAACGAUAAUGCGGGUGAAAAACCCGCACGCCGAAAGCCCAAGGUUUCCUUGCGCAACGUUAAUCGGCGCAGGGUGAGUCGGCCCCUAAGGCGAGGACGAAAGUCGUAGUCGAUGGGAAGCAGGUUAAUAUUCCUGCACCUCGCGUAAGUGCGAUGGAGGGACGGAGAAGGUUAGGUGUACCAGGCGUUGGUUGUCCUGGGGAAAGGCGGUAGGUUUGGAUCUUUGGCAAAUCCGGGAUCCUUUAAGACCGAGCACCGAGACGAGCCUUUAUGGCGAAGUCACUGAUACCACGCUUCCAGGAAAAGCUCCUAAGCUUCAGCUUACGCAGACCGUACCGUAAACCGACACAGGUGGGUAGGAUGAGAAUUCUCAGGCGCUUGAGAGAACUCGGGUGAAGGAACUAGGCAACAUGGCACCGUAACUUCGGGAGAAGGUGCACCCUUUUUGGUGGCUCGUGCGAGCUAUAGCUGAAGAGGGUCGCAGUAACCAGGCCGCUGCGACUGUUUAUCAAAAACACAGCACUCUGCAAACACGAAAGUGGACGUAUAGGGUGUGACGCCUGCCCGGUGCUGGAAGGUUAAUUGAUGGGGUCAGCCGCAAGGCGAAGCUCUUGAUCGAAGCCCCAGUAAACGGCGGCCGUAACUAUAACGGUCCUAAGGUAGCGAAAUUCCUUGUCGGGUAAGUUCCGACCUGCACGAAUGGCGUAACGACAGCGGCGCUGUCUCCACCCGAGACUCAGUGAAAUUGAAAUCGCUGUGAAGAUGCAGCGUUCCCGUGGCAAGACGGAAAGACCCCGUGAACCUUUACUAUAGCUUUACACUGAACGUUGAGUUCGUCUGUGUAGGAUAGGUGGGAGGCUAUGAAACUGUGGCGCUAGCUGCAGUGGAGCCAUCCUUGAAAUACCACCCUGUCGUGCUUGACGUUCUAACCUGGGCCCAUUAUCUGGGUCGGGGACCGUGUAUGGUGGGUAGUUUGACUGGGGCGGUCUCCUCCUAAAGAGUAACGGAGGAGCUCGAAGGUACGCUCAGCGCGGUCGGACAUCGCGCACUGUGUGCAAAGGCAUAAGCGUGCUUGACUGCAAGAUCGACGGAUCAAGCAGGUAGGAAACUAGGACUUAGUGAUCCGGUGGUUCUGUAUGGAAGGGCCAUCGCUCAACGGAUAAAAGGUACUCCGGGGAUAACAGGCUGAUACCGCCCAAGAGUUCAUAUCGACGGCGGUGUUUGGCACCUCGAUGUCGGCUCAUCACAUCCUGGGGCUGUAGUCGGUCCCAAGGGUAUGGCUGUUCGCCAUUUAAAGUGGUACGCGAGCUGGGUUCAGAACGUCGUGAGACAGUUCGGUCCCUAUCUGCCAUGGGCGUUGGAGAUUUGAGAGGGGCUGCUCCUAGUACGAGAGGACCGGAGUGGACGAACCUCUGGUGUUCCGGUUGUCACGCCAGUGGCAUUGCCGGGUAGCUAUGUUCGGAAGCGAUAACCGCUGAAAGCAUCUAAGCGGGAAGCGCGCCUCAAGAUGAGAUCUCCCGGGGCACAAGCCCCCUGAAGGAACCAUGUAGACUACGUGGUUGAUAGGUCAGGUGUGUAAGUACAGCAAUGUAUUGAGCUAACUGAUACUAAUGAUCCGUGCGGCUUGACCAU